rnacentral:rRNA from 1 species
UAGGGAAUAUUGCGCAAUGGACGAAAGUCUGACGCAGCAACUCCGCGUGGAGGAAGACGGUCUUCGGAUUGUAAACUCCUUUUAUGAGGGAAGAAAAAAUUAAAAUUGACGGUACCUCAUGAAUAAGCAACGGCUAAAUACGUGCCAGCAGCCGCGGUAAUACGUAUGUUGCAAGCGUUACUCGGAAUCACUGGGCGUAAAGCGUACGUAGGCGGACUAAUAAGUCAGGAGUGAAAUUUUGGGGCUCAACCCCGAACGUGCUUUUGAAACUGUUAGUCUUGAGUAUAUGAGGGGAAGAUGGAAUUCCUGGUGUAGCGGUGGAAUGCGUAGAUAUCAGGAAGAACACCGGUGGCGAAGGCGGUCUUCUGGCAUAAUACUGACGCUGAUGUACGAAAGCGUGGGGAGCAAACAGG